rnacentral:lncRNA from 1 species
GUGGAUUCAUUUAUUUUCGUGGGUACCAAUUUUCGUGGAUUAGGGAAAAUUUCCAUGUUCCUGGAUAUUUAAUUUCGUGGUUUUGCCGAAGUCUGCAUAUAAGCCUAUAGAAAAAUUUGUUUAGUUGAACAUUUAAUUUCGUGGUUCACAUUCACCCACUAAAGCCACGAAAAUUGGUAUCCAACGAAUAAUAACGAAUCCACAGUAU